rnacentral:rRNA from 1 species
GACGAACGCUGGCGGCGUGCCUAAUACAUGCAAGUCGAACGCUUCUUUCCUCCCGAGUGCUUGCACUCAAUUGGAAAGAGGAGUGGCGGACGGGUGAGUAACACGUGGGUAACCUACCCAUCAGAGGGGGAUAACACUUGGAAACAGGUGCUAAUACCGCAUAACAGUUUAUGCGGCAUGGCAUAAGAGUGAAAGGGGCUGUAGGGUGUGGCUGAUGGCUGGACCCGCGGUGCAUUAGCUAGUUGGUGAGGGAACGGCUCACCAAGGCCACGAUGCAUAGCCGACCUGAGAGGGUGAUCGGCCACACUGGGACUGAGACACGGCCCAGACUCCUACGGGAGGCAGCAGUAGGGAAUCUUCGGCAAUGGACGAAAGUCUGACCGAGCAACGCCGCGUGAGUGAAGAAGGUUUUCGGAUCGUAAAACUCUGUUGUUAGAGAAGAACAAGGACGUUAGUAACUGAACGUCCCCUGACGGUAUCUAACCAGAAAGCCACGGCUAACUACGUG